UACACACCGCCCGUCAACACCAUGGGAGUGGGUUGCACCAGAAGUAGCUAGUCUAACCUUCGGGAGGACGGUUACCACGGUGUGAUUCAUGACUGGGGUG
rnacentral:rRNA from 1 species